AUGUUGGCUCCCUCGCCAGCACAGUCCCAGCCUGGAGCUGCCCAAGUUCCUCAGGAUCUGAGCACCAAGGGUGGAGUCAAACCACAGGCAAUGGCCUGCCCGCCAGGCUACAGCUGGGGAGAUCCACCCCAGGCCACAGUGCAGGGCAAGCAGGUUCACGCAGGCCUGGUACAGUGUCUAUGGACAUGCCUGCGGUGUGCAGCCACUCUCUGGACACUAGGAACUGAGCAGACUGAGGAUGGCAAGGCCCCCAUCAUAAACCAAGCACAAAAUCAGGCAGACCUAGGCUUCUCAAGUCCUAGGCCCAUGCAAUUGAGCUGUGCUCCAGAACCUGAUUUACAGUCACAAGCAGCUACCUCUUCAGUCCAUCCAGUCCAUCCCGCUGUCCAUCCCCAGUCCAUCCCGCUGUCCAUCAUCCACAGUCCAUCCCGCCGUCCAUCCCCAGUCCAUCCCGCUGUCCAUCAUCCAACGUCCAUCCCGCUGUCCCUCCCCAGUCCAUCCCGCUGUCCAUCAUCCACAGUCCAUCCCGCCGUCCAUCCCCAGUCCAUCCCGCUGUCCAUCAUCCAACGUCCAUCCCGCUGUCCCUCCCCAGUCCAUCCCGCUGUCCAUCAUCCACAGUCCAUCCCGCCGUCCAUCCCCAGUCCAUCCCGCUGUCCAUCAUCCAACGUCCAUCCCGCUGUCCCUCCCCAGUCCAUCCCGCUGUCCAUCAUCCACAGUCCAUCCCGCCGUCCAUCCCCAGUCCAUCCCGCUGUCCAUCAUCCAACGUCCAUCCCGCUGUCCCUCCCCAGUCCAUCCCGCUGUCCAUCAUCCACAGUCCAUCCCGCCGUCCAUCCCCAGUCCAUCCCGCUGUCCAUCAUCCAACGUCCAUCCCGCUGUCCCUCCCCAGUCCAUCCCGCUGUCCAUCAUCCACAGUCCAUCCCGCCGUCCAUCCCCAGUCCAUCCCGCUGUCCAUCAUCCAACGUCCAUCCCGCUGUCCCUCCCCAGUCCAUCCCGCUGUCCAUCAUCCACAGUCCAUCCCGCCGUCCAUCCCCAGUCCAUCCCGCUGUCCAUCAUCCAACGUCCAUCCCGCUGUCCCUCCCCAGUCCAUCCCGCUGUCCAUCAUCCACAGUCCAUCCCGCCGUCCAUCCCCAGUCCAUCCCGCUGUCCAUCAUCCAACGUCCAUCCCGCUGUCCCUCCCCAGUCCAUCCCGCUGUCCAUCAUCCACAGUCCAUCCCGCCGUCCAUCCCCAGUCCAUCCCGCUGUCCAUCAUCCAACGUCCAUCCCGCUGUCCCUCCCCAGUCCAUCCCGCUGUCCAUCAUCCACAGUCCAUCCCGCCGUCCAUCCCCAGUCCAUCCCGCUGUCCAUCAUCCAACGUCCAUCCCGCUGUCCCUCCCCAGUCCAUCCCGCUGUCCAUCAUCCACAGUCCAUCCCGCCGUCCAUCCCCAGUCCAUCCCGCUGUCCAUCAUCCAACGUCCAUCCCGCUGUCCCUCCCCAGUCCAUCCCGCUGUCCAUCAUCCACAGUCCAUCCCGCCGUCCAUCCCCAGUCCAUCCCGCUGUCCAUCAUCCAACGUCCAUCCCGCUGUCCCUCCCCAGUCCAUCCCGCUGUCCAUCAUCCACAGUCCAUCCCGCCGUCCAUCCCCAGUCCAUCCCGCUGUCCAUCAUCCAACGUCCAUCCCGCUGUCCCUCCCCAGUCCAUCCCGCUGUCCAUCAUCCACAGUCCAUCCCGCCGUCCAUCCCCAGUCCAUCCCGCUGUCCAUCAUCUACAGGCCAUCCCGCUGUCCAUCCCCAGUCCAUCCCGCUGGCCAUCAUCUACAGUCCAUCCCGCUGUCCAUCUACAGUCCAUCCUGCUGUCCAUCAUCUACAGUCCAUCGCGCUGUUCAUCCACAGUCCAUCCCGCUGUCCAUCUACAGUCGAUCCCGCUGUCCAUCCACAGUCCAUCCCGCUGUCCAUCAUCUACAGUCCAUCCCGCUGUCCAUCCACAGUCCAUCCCGCUGUCCAUCCACAGUCCAUCCCGCUGUCCAUCCACAGUCCAUCCUGCUGUCCAUCCUAUAGUCCAUUUGUCUUCCCAUCAGCUGGCUUAACAUCUAAGCAGAAGGAAAACCUAGGUGGGACAGGGAAGUUUGGCUCAGUACUGGGUCAAGGUUCAGGCCAGCAGAGGGUAGCAUGGAUUCAAGGGAGACACUUGGGGCACAGAUGCCAUGAAGGACUGGAGAUGGCUGAGCUGAUCCCACAAGGACAUCUGGGAAGGGUCAGAGAAGCGAUCCAGGAGGAGCCCAGUGGGGUCUGAGUGGAAGUCAUGGAAGCUUGGACACUUUGGAACAGCAACACCCCAUCCACCAAGCCCAUGGCAGCAGGCACCCUAUCACUCUAGUCACUUGGACUGAUCCCAUUCUCGACUGCAAGGAAACAAAGCUCCUCAGGGACAGCUGAGGUCGGAGGAGAACAGGAUGACUCUGGAAGUCAAGAAAGUGCUCCAAGUGUGGCGCAGGCAUGUGGAAAGUAACAGGGCUGGCCCAUGGGAGCCACCAUCCAAACCCAAGCAAUCUGGUCAUCCGAAUAAAUAGUGACAGCAAUGGACCACUGUAGCUGGAAAGACUACACCCAGGAAGGGCACUGAGGUCAGAAUAUCAACACAGGGUGGGUGUGUGCAGAGAGGAAGAGGCCCCCACAGCUCCACAGCGCUUCUAUACCAAGGUUCCAAACUACUGAGGGGCAGGUGAAAAGGGCUGUGAAUCACCUCCACCUGAGGGAACACAGAUGACCGGUGACAAAUCAAAGCCUCAACCCUCUUCACUGGAGGGGUGUACACAGCUUGUCCUGGAGGCCCUACCGAAAAUGCCCUGCUGGAAUCCAGUCAGCAGGAAAACCAGUGAAGCCCAGUCCAGGCACCCCACAGGGAUGGGUGAGAACACACGUCAAGUUCAUGAGGCAGGCAGGGAUGCACAACACAGGGCAAGACCAGAAGACCAAGGAGUGGUGGUGCACGCCUUUAGUCUCAGCACUCAGGAGGCUGAGGCAGGCAGAUCUUUGUGAGUUUGAGACCAGCCUGGUCUACAGAGUGAGUGCCAGAGACAGCCUCCAAAACCACAGAGAAACCCUGUCUCAAAAAAAAAAAAAAAAAAAAAAAAAAGGCUGCUUUUGGCUGGGCAGUGGUGGUUCACACCUUUAAUCCCAGCACUCAGGAGGCAGAGGUGGGUGGAUCAAGGCCAGUCUGGUCUACAGACUGAGUUCCAGGCUAGCCAGGAACUCUGUGUAGCCAGGGCUACACAGAGAAAUCCUGUCUCAAAAAAACAAAAAAACAGUUUGCUUCUGUGAUGCCAGGAGGUCUGGGAGGGGCAGCUGGCACAUGCUCAAAACCUUUGGGCAUAGUUCUGGCCAAGAUCUCUACCAUGGGAUACCUUCCAGCCUAGACACAGGUUGUAAGUCCCUAUCAAUGAGAGGGAGAAAGCAGGCUGGGCUUUGUCUUUAGGCAGAGGGUGGAUUCCUUCACCACAGUAAGCCUAGGUCAGAAGUGAGCCCUAUACUCCUUCCUUUGCUCCAGGUGCCCUUGAGGCCAGGACUUUGCACAGAUGACUCUGCCAGGCCUGGGCCACCCAAGAGCAGGGUAUGGUACUCUAGGAGGGCCAGGGGGGCAUGGUGUAGCUGGGCAGUUGCUAGGAGUCUAUCUCUCGGGAUCACACCCCGUGACUAAAGCCACAGCACGGCUUGGCAUCGACAACACCCACACUAGAUGUGCCCCACCCCCAACUCCCAUGUACUCUCAAUGCAUUCAUUCAAUGAAUGGGCAACAGUCUUGCCAGCAUUCAUAGAGCAAACAUGGUGCCCAGCAUCUGACUGGAGUCCCAAGGGUCCCC
rnacentral:lncRNA from 1 species